ensembl:snoRNA SNORA75 Small nucleolar RNA SNORA75
UUCUUCUCAUGAGCUCCUCCUGUCCCACACAGUGACAGUGAAUGGAUUCGCACGAGAAGUAGAGCCAAAUCACAGUCAAAACAGGCAACUGCCUUGAACUCCGUGGCAGUUUUCCCAUGUCUGAUGUGAAACAAAA